GAUGAACGCUGGCGGCGUGCCUAAUACAUGCAAGUCGAGCGAAUGGAUUAAGAGCUUGCUCUUAUGAAGUUAGCGGCGGACGGGUGAGUAACACGUGGGUAACCUGCCCAUAAGACUGGGAUAACUCCGGGAAACCGGGGCUAAUACCGGAUAACAUUUUGAACCGCAUGGUUCGAAAUUGAAAGGCGGCUUCGGCUGUCACUUAUGGAUGGACCCGCGUCGCAUUAGCUAGUUGGUGAGGUAACGGCUCACCAAGGCAACGAUGCGUGGCCGACCUGGGAGGGUGAUCGGCCACACUGGGACUGAGACACGGCCCAGACUCCUACGGGAGGCAGCAGUAGGGAAUCUUCCGCAAUGGACGGAAGUCUGACGGAGCAACGCCGCGUGAGUGAUGAAGGCUUUCGGGCCGUAAAACUCUGUUGUUAGGGAAGAACAAGUGCUAGUUGAAUAAGCUGGCACCUUGACGGUACCUAACCAGAAAGCCACGGCUAACUACGUGCCAGCCGCCGCAGUAA
rnacentral:rRNA from 1 species